GUGUGGAGCUGCCGCCGUUCUACCGGCGGCUGGGUUAUGCGGACAACGGCACCGAGCCCGCGAGCGACCCGCGCACACUGCAGCCCUUUCACUUCCUGAUCAUGUCGAAGGCCCUGUAAAGGGACUGGUUGUCAGGCGGGCGUGAUGGCGUCACGGUCCGCCAGUCACCUCGCCAGCUCCGGUGUCUCGCCACACACUUUCGCCGGCCGCCAUCCAUCGCUGUUUCGUGCCGUCCGGCGCGUUCACUUCCGCAGCCCAAACCAGGCGGCUCGGAUCGCGGUCGUAGGUCAGGACUGGCGGGUCGACCAACGAACCGGCUCCGGCCGCGUUCGCGAUCCUCGUGGCAAUCCGGUCGGGAUCAAUCCAGUCGGCUGCAUCGGGGCUCGACUGCACAUGCCCUCCGGCCAGCAAUGAGAACCGGAGAAGGUCGAGCGCCCUGCCGACCUGCGCCCAGGCCACCAGUCUGUUGUCAGCGACAAAGGGCACCAUCCAUGAAUGAAUGGCGCCGUUGGCUUCAUGCACCGCCAACGGCUCCCCCAUGUCAGUAGAGAUCCCGGCAGGCAGCUGGACGACGCCUUCCUCGGCAAGGUUGCGGACGCGCGCCGCAAUCAAGGCGCGCUCGUCGCGAGCCGGCAUGGUACCUCUGGUCUCGUCCUAGACCGUCGUGACUCGUGCGGUGAAUGCACGGCGGUACGUCUGCGUGU
rnacentral:misc_RNA from 1 species